rnacentral:sRNA from 1 species
GAGUAAAACGGCCUUCGGGCCACUUAUUCUCACCCUUUGUUUACCACACUUAGUUGCCUUGGCGCCUAGCGCCAGUGGAUCAAAACCCUUGAAUCAUUGCUGUCUGAGUACUAUAUAAUAGUUAAAACUUUCAACAACGGAUCUCUUGGUUCUGGCAUCGAUGAAGAACGCAGCGAAAUGCGAUAAGUAAUGUGAAUUGCAGAAUUCAGUGAAUCAUCGAAUCUUUGAACGCACAUUGCGCCCUCUGGUAUUCCGGGGGGCAUGCCUGUUCGAGCGUCAUUACAACCCUCAAGCUCAGCUUGGUAUUGGGCUCGCCCUGUAGGGCUUGCCUAAAAAUCAGUGGCGGCCGCCGUCCGACCUUCAGCGCAGUAAUACUCGUAGCUGAAAGGGAAGGCUGGCGACCCCGUCAUUAUAACCCCCAAUUUUACAAGGUUGACCUCGGAUCAGGUAGGGAUACCCGCUGAACUUAAGCAUAUCAAUAAGCGGAGGAAAAGAAACCAACAGGGAUUGCCUCAGUAACGGCGAGUGAAGCGGCAACAGCUCAAAUUUGAAAGCUGGCUCCUUCGGGGCCCGCGUUGUAAUUUGUAGAGGAUGCUUCGGGUGCGGCUCCGGUCUAAGUUCUCUGGAACGAGACGUCAAAGAGGGUGAGAAUCCCGUAUGUGACCGGCUGCUUGUGCCCAUGUGAAGCUCCUUCGACGAGUCGAGUUGUUUGGGAAUGCAGCUCAAAAUGGGAGGUGUACUCCUUCUAAAGCUAAAUAUUGGCCAGAGACCGAUAGCGCACAAGUAGAGUGAUCGAAAGAUGAAAAGCACUUUGGAAAGAGAGUUAAACAGUACGUGAAAUUGUUGAAAGGGAAGCGCUUGCAAUCAGACUUGCGCGGCGUCGAUCAA